rnacentral:tRNA from 2 species
UCCGAUGUGAUCUAACGGUUAGGAUGUCUGGCUUUAACCCAGAACGCCCGGGUUCGAUUCCCGGCAUCGGAU